AUGGCUCCUACCGAGGCUGAGGCUGAUGUAGAGGAGGGAGAAGAGAAGAAGAAGAGGGAAAGGAAAGCAACCGGAGCUGCUUUUACGUGGAUUCAAAAUCACUUUGCGACGUGCCCUCCGGAUGCCACUGAUGAUGUGAUCCAGACACAUGCUCGUGUCUACAUGUGGUAUGUUGUGUCGAGGACUUUGUUUCCUGACUCCACUGGCAAGAACGCUCCAUGGAUGUGGCUGAAGGCGUUGACCGUCUUCGAUAGCAAAUGA
rnacentral:rRNA from 1 species